GUGCACCGCCGACCGACC
rnacentral:snRNA from 1 species